GAGGAACAAAGAGUCUCUCUCUCUCUCUCUCUCUCUCUCUCUGUAUGUGUGUGUGUGUGUGUGUGUGAGAGAGAGAGAGAGAGAGAGAGAGAGAGAGAGAGAGAGAGAGAGAGAACAGUGAG
rnacentral:miRNA from 1 species